UCCGCGGUAGCUCAAUGGUAGAGCAGAAAGCUGUUAACUUUAAGGUUCCAGGUUCGAGUCCUGGCCGCGGAG
rnacentral:tRNA from 1 species